AAUAGUUGCCUCUGCAACCAAACUGCUGCUCAUGCUUUGACUGAUUGCUGACAUGUUUGUUUUUUUCCACCAAUAGGAAAACAAUGUUGUGUUUGUGCUUACUUUAACCUUGACUCUGUUAGCGGCUUUCUUGCUGUGCUUUCAAAUGAUAAAUAAUGUGGCGACACAAGGAAAUCUGGUCUCACUUGAUACAUUUCCCCCAUUUUUAAAGACUUGUGACGUUAAAUAGUGCUGCUCUUUGUUGUGGUUUACCUUCAGGUGUCUCUGGAUAUGGUGAGCUAUUUCCAGCAUGUCCUCCGAGUGAAAGGCCUCGAUCUCCAGUCUCAAGAGAGCGAAUGCUAGAACGGAGGGCUGGAUGGACAAACAAAUAAAGAAUUCAGGUUGCGGGGGGCGCUGGUGCCCAUCUCAGCUACAAUCGGGCGGAAGUCAGGGUACACCUCGGACAAGUCCCCACCUCAUUGCAGGGCCAACACAGAUAGACAACAUUCACACACUAGGGCCAAAUUAGUGUUGCCAAUCAACCUAUCCACAGGUGCAUGUCUUUGGAGGUGAGAGGAAGCCGGAAUACCCGGAGGGAACCGAUGCAGUCACGGGGAGGACAUGCAAACUCCACACAGAAGGAUCCAGAGCCCGGGAUUGAACCCUGACUAAUCAGGACCUUCGUAUUGUGAGGCAGACGCACUAACCCCAGCUCCGCCGUGAAGCCCCAUUAUUUUAUUUUUUUUACCAAAUCAUUGAACUUUAAUAUUUAUGAUCCCAUAAAUAAAGGGCUUGUGUGUUCUCUAUAUACAA